CCAACCUGGUUGAUCCUGCCAGUAGCAUACGCUUGUCUCAAAGAUUAAGCCAUGCAUGUCUAAGUAUAAAUAAAUCUAUACUGUGAAACUGCGAAUGGCUCAUUAUAUCAGUUAUAGUUUAUUUGAUAGUCCCUUACUACUUGGAUAACCGUAGUAACUCUAGAGCUAAUACAUGCGCAAAUUCCCGACUGCCG
rnacentral:rRNA from 1 species